rnacentral:rRNA from 1 species
CAGGACGAACGCUGGCGGCGUGCCUAACACAUGCAAGUCGAACGGAGUCCAAGGGAAGCUUGCUUCCCUGAAGACUUAGUGGCGGACGGGUGAGUAACGCGUGAGUAACCUGCCUUGGANAGGGGGAUAACACAGAGAAAUUUGUGCUAAUACCGCAUAAUGUAUAACUGUCGCAUGGCGGAUAUACCAAAGGUCAGCCGCUCCAAGAUGGACUCGCGUCCGAUUAGGUAGUUGGUGAGGUAACGGCUCACCAAGCCGACGAUCGGUAGCCGGACUGAGAGGUCGAUCGGCCACAUUGGUACUGAGACACGGUCCAGACUCCUACGGGAGGCAGCAGUGAGGAAUAUUGGUCAAUGGGCGAGAGCCUGAACCAGCCAAGUAGCGUGAAGGAAGACUGCCCUAUGGGUUGUAAACUUCUUUUGUUCGGGAAUAAAGUGCAGUAUGUAUACUGUUUUGUAUGUACCGUUCGAAUAAGCAUCGGCUAAUUCCGUG